rnacentral:rRNA from 1 species
AUUGAACGCUGGCGGAAUGCUUUACACAUGCAAGUCGAGCGGCAGCACGGGGGCAACUCUGGUGGCGAGCGGCGAACGGGUGAGUAAUGCAUCGGAACGUACCCCGUCGUGGGGGAUAACUGUCCGAAAGGACAGCUAAUACCGCAUACGACCUGAGGGUGAAAGCGGGGGACCGCAAGGCCUCGCGCGAUGGGAGCGGCCGAUGCUCGAUUAGCUAGUUGGUAGGGUAAAGGCCUACCAAGGCGACGAUCGAUAGCUGGUCUGAGAGGAUGGUCCGCCUCACUGGGACUGAGACACGGCCCAGCAUUCUACGGGGGGCAGCAGUGGGGAAUUUUGGAAAAUGGGCGGAAGCCUGAUCCAGCCCUUCCGCGUGAGUGAAGAAGGCCUUCGGGUUGUAAAGCUCUUUCGGCAGGAACGAAACGGUCCUGGUUAAUACCUGGGGCUAAUGACGGUACCUGAAGAAGAAGCACCGGCUAACUACGUGCCAGCCGCCGCCGUAAAAC